rnacentral:misc_RNA from 1 species
GUAUUUUGAUAAGCAACAAAAGAGCGCGCUUCACAUAACGCGCUGAGAAAAGUAGCUUGUUAAAACUUCUCGCUCACUGACUGACGCUGUUUUUGAUCAGACAUGUCGUUCCGAGACCCCCGAGGGAGGGACAACAUGAACCGUUGGGGACGAGGUGGUGACGACGGCCCACGCGGCAGCCUCAAGGGCAGGCAGCCUGGCGAGCGGCUGCGCAAGCCCAAGUGGGACAUGUCACGGCUGCCCCCAUUCCAGAAGGACUUCUACAAGGAGCACCCCACCACCGCCCACAGGCCCAAGCACGAAGUGGAGGCAUACCGGAAGCAGCACGACAUCACCAUCCGCGGCAAGGACGUUCCCAACCCCAUUCUGACAUUUGAAGAGGCUAACCUGCCGGAUUUCUGCAUGUCGGCAAUCCGCCAGGCGCAGUACAACACCCCCACUCCCAUUCAGGCACAGGGUUGGCCGAUCGCCCUCAGCGGACGGGAUAUGGUCGGCAUUGCUCAGACCGGAUCGGGCAAAACACUCGCGUACAUCCUUCCAGCAAUCCUCCACAUCAGUCACCAGCCUUACUUGGAGCGUGGUGAUGGCCCCAUCGCCUUGGUGGUGGCCCCCACGCGAGAGUUGGCCCAGCAGAUCCAGCAGGUGGCGGCGGAGUUUGGCAGGGCCUCCCGCAUCCGCAACACGUGCGUCUUUGGCGGCGCUCCCAAGGGGCCACAGAUCCGUGACCUUGAGAGGGGAGUGGAGAUCUGCAUAGCGACCCCCGGCCGUCUGAUCGACUUCCUGGAGGCGGGCAAGACGAACCUGCGCCGCUGCACAUACCUGGUGCUGGACGAGGCGGACCGCAUGCUCGACAUGGGCUUUGAGCCGCAGAUACGCAAGAUUGUCGAGCAGAUUCGGCCUGACCGUCAGACGCUGAUGUGGAGCGCCACCUGGCCCAAGGAGGUGCGCUCGCUGGCGGAGGACUUCCUCAAGGACUACGUGCAGAUCAACAUCGGGGCGCUGCAGCUGUGUGCCAACCACCGCAUCCUGCAGAUCAUCGACGUCUGCCAGGAGUCCGAGAAGGACACCAAGCUCCUCAAGCUGCUGCAGGAAAUUAUGAACGAGCGUGAGAACAAGACCAUAAUAUUUGCCGAGACCAAGCGUAAGGUGGACGAGCUGACGCGCAGGAUGAGGCGCGAUGGUUGGCCUGCCAUGUGUAUCCACGGGGACAAGUCACAGCCGGAACGGGACUGGGUGCUUGGAGAGUUCCGAAGUGGGAAGUCUCCAAUCCUGGUCGCCACCGAUGUUGCCGCCCGAGGAUUGGAUGUGGAUGACAUCAAGUUUGUCAUCAACUACGACUACCCGAACUGCUCGGAGGACUACGUGCACCGCAUUGGGCGGACGGCCCGCUCCAACAAGACGGGCACGGCGUACACCUUCUUUACGCCGGGCAACUCCAAGCAGGCCCAGGAGCUCAUCUCGGUGCUCAAGGAGGCCAACCAGGUGGUGAACCCCAAGCUGUUCGAGAUGUUCGAGAUGUCCCGCUCCUACGGAGGACGCGGCGGUCGCAACCGCUGGCGCACCUCGGGUGGCGGCGGCGGUCGCAGGAAUGACUACGAUGACGACGACCGACACGGAGGGCGCCGCUAUGCCACAGGUGCCAACGCCUACAACCCAGGCAACAACGACUACAGCACAUCGAACUCAGAGCUGCCAAACAGCAACUACGGAUACGGCAUUUCAAACUCGAACCAGUCGUCGCACCAGUCGUCACACCAGUCAUCGCACCAGCCAUCGCACCAGUCUUCACACCAGUCGUCGUCACACAGCAACUCGGGCGCUGCAUCUGGCAUGGGUAGCGGCGGCGGAGGUGGAUCGAUGAUGGCGAUGACAGCGAUGGGACACAUGGCUCCCAUGACACCCAUGAUGGGGCAGAUGACGCACAUGAUGCCAGUCAUGCACAUGCCCAACGGCCAGUCGUACAUGAUGGCGGCACCCAUGCAGCAGUCGGGACAGCAACAGUCGGGGCAGCAACAGUCGUCGCAGCCACAGCAGCAGUCCGGACAGCAACAGAUUCCCCACAGUCUGCUGGGUCCGCCACCCCCACCCCCACCACCGCCGGGCGUCACUAACGGCGCAGCGUGGUAGAAGCUGUUGUGCUGCGAGCUGGACUCUCUUUGUUUUUAUUUUUCCACCUCAUGGUUUUUAGAUAUAUGUGCAGCAUUAGAGACAGCUGCAGUGGCGCCAGUGUGUUGCAUUCGGUUGCACCCAGUGAAGUUGAGGCACUCUAUACCCUGUGCUUUUGGAAGACUCGAAAAAUUAAGACAGUUGUGACUUGACGGAGCUCUCGCUUGGCUGUCCUGUCAUCUGUGGUGGCCAGUGUUGACAAAGACGGGGGCAUGAGCACGACAACUGUUUCAUCACUCCUGGAAAGAGUGAAAGCUUCAAGAUGGGUGGGGGAGUCGAUGUUUGUUUUUUAGCCAGAAUUGACGCAGCUGCCUUGACGGUGCGUUGACGCUGCAUUGGUGAUGUGGACAUGGUAGUAGCCGUGAUGUUGCUGCCUGUAUAGUAUGCGUGUCUGCAUUUCACCGCUAGCAGAGGUCUGCAGCAUCAAGCUAUUUAUUGUUUGAAAAAAAUGAUAGAGCGGCUGCCACUGUAGAGCCCACACCUUGAGGGCAGCACUGGCAUCAGCUGAAUGCAGGGUAAAGUACUGCGCGUGUUGCAACUUUUUGCUCCCAAAUGAACGAAUGCGCUUGUCAAGCAUAGCCUAUCACAUGUCGCGUCUUUAUUCACUUAAUUUUUCUCAAAGAAAUGUUUGUUAUCUAUAAAAAAGGCAAAUAUUUUGUCGGCUAUUUCAGAAAUAAUUAAUCCUGCAUUCGCUAUUCCUUUAACGAGGCAGAUGAUGCAGCUGCUUUUGAGGUAAAGGCUGCCAG